UGAGGAAUAUUGCACAAUGGAGGAAACUCUGAUGCAGCAACGCCGCGUGGAGGAUGACGCAUUUCGGUGUGUAAACUCCUUUUAAGAGGGAAGAUAAUGACGGUACCUCUUGAAUAAGCACCGGCUAACUCCGUGCCAGCAGCCGCGGUAAUACGGAGGGUGCAAGCGUUACUCGGAAUCACUGGGCGUAAAGGGUGCGUAGGCUGGCUUCUAAGUCAGAUGUGAAAUCCAAUGGCUCAACCAUUGAACU
rnacentral:rRNA from 1 species